GGGGAGAUACUCAAGCGGCCAACGAGGACAGACUGUAAAUCUGUUGACGUAAGUCUUCGCAGGUUCGAUCCUGCUCUCCCCA
rnacentral:tRNA from 1 species